CGAGCGAGGCCAGGUAGCAAUACCUGAGUCGAGCGGCAGACGGGUGAGUAACACGUGGGUGACCUACCUCGAGGUGGGGGAUAACCCGGGGAAACUCGGGCUAAUACCGCAUAACAUCGUGAGAUCAAAGCGGCCCGCAAGGGUCGCGCCGUGAGAGGGGCCCGCGUCUGAUUAGCUAGUUGGUGAGGUAACGGCUCACCAAGGCGACGAUCAGUAGCCGGCCUGAGAGGGCGAUCGGCCACACUGGAACUGAGACACGGUCCAGACUCCUACGGGAGGCAGCAGUGGGGAAUUUUGCGCAAUGGGGGAAACCCUGACGCAGCAACGCCGCGUGGAGGAUGAAGGUCCUUGGAUUGUAAACUCCUGUCAGCAGGGAAGAACUCCUUACGGUGAAUAACCGUAAGGAUUGACGGUACCUGCAGAGGAAGCCCCGGCUAACUCUGUGCCAGCAGCCGCGGUAAUACAGAGGGGGCAAGCGUUAUUCGGAAUUAUUGGGCGUAAAGGGCGCGUAGGCGGCUUCGCAAGUGGUGGGUGAAAUCCCUCGGCUUAACCGAGGAACUGCCCUCCAAACUGCGUUGCUGGAGUCCAGGAGAGGUGAGUGGAAUUCCCAGUGUAGCGGUGAAAUGCGUACAUAUUGGGAGGAACACCAGUGGCUAAUGCGGCUCACUGGACCGGAACUGACGCUGAGACGCGAAACCCUGUGGAGCAAACAGGAUUACAUACCCCGGUAGUCCACGCCGUAUACGAUGAGUGCUUGGUGUAUCGGGUAUCGACUCCUGCUGUGCCGAAGUCGUCACAUUAAGCACUCCGCCUGGGGAGUACGGUCACACGGCUGAUACUCAAAUGAAUUGACUCGACAUGGACGAAUUCGCGGCCGCUAAAUUCAAUU
rnacentral:rRNA from 1 species